CAUCAAUUAGUCAUAAAUCUGGAUUUUACAAGCUUUUUUCCUUAGCUUCGAUCUUUUUCUACCUCGACGACUCUCCUAAGAGUCGGUGCAUCUUCAUCAGAAACCGCCUUCGCAAUCUCGUCUUCUUUAUAACCCCAUGGGUCUACUACUAUUAUAAUAUUUCCGCAACAAUCGAACAAUCUAAUCGAAGAUGGAUUCACUUCUCCUCGAAGAUUUUGGCCAGAAGGUGGAUUUGACGCGACGGAUUCGGGAGGUUUUGUUGAACUACCCGGAAGGAACCACCGUGCUCAAGGAGCUCAUACAGAACGCCGACGACGCCGGAGCUACGCGUGUCCGUCUCUGCCUUGAUCGCCGCGCUCACCGGACGGAUUCUCUGUUAUCGGACUCUUUGGCUCAGUGGCAAGGUCCUUCUCUCUUGGCUUACAACGAUGCUGUGUUCACUGAAGAGGAUUUCGUUAGUAUCUCGAGGAUUGGUGGGAGUGGGAAGCAUGGUCAGGCUUGGAAGACUGGUCGAUUUGGAGUUGGGUUCAACUCGGUGUACCAUUUGACUGAUAUACCUUCCUUUGUGAGUGGCAAGUACGUGGUGUUGUUCGAUCCUCAGGGUGCUUAUCUUCCAAAUAUCUCUGCAGCUAACCCAGGGAAGAGAAUCGAUUUCGUUGGCUCUUCGGCUCUCUCUCACUACGAGGAUCAGUUUCUUCCUUACUGUGCCUUUGGAUGCGACAUGAAAACUCCUUUUCGCGGCACGUUGUUUCGUUUCCCUUUGAGGAGUCCCGAGCAGGCAGGUUCUAGUAGGCUUUCGAGGCAAGCGUAUUUUGAGGACGACAUUUCGUUGAUGUUUGAUCAGCUCUUCGAGGAAGGGGUUUUCUCGCUGCUUUUUCUUAAAUGUGUUUUGUCUAUUGAGAUGUACACGUGGGAUGCUGGAGAUCCAGAGCCUAAAAGGCUUUAUUCAGUUUCGGUUAGCUCUCCGAAGGAUGAUACUGUGUGGCAUCGGCAGGCGGUUCUUAGACUGUCGAAGACGUCGAUUUCUGGAGAUAGGGAGAUGGAUGCGUUUACUCUGGAUUUCGUGAGUGAGUCUGAGAAGGGAAGCCAGAGUAAACGGAGAACAGACAAGUUUUACAUUGUUCAGACGAUGGCGUCAUCGUCUAGUAGAAUUGGUUCUUUUGCCGCCACUGCAUCCAAAGAAUAUGAUAUUCAUUUGUUACCAUGGGCUUCAGUCGCAGCUUGCAUAUCAGAUGAUUCAUCCGAGAACAAUUUCUUAAAGCUUGGGCAUGCUUUUUGCUUUCUUUCAUUGCCUGUACGAACUGGAUUGACGGUUCAAGUCAACGGAUACUUUGAGGUGUCAUCAAAUCGCCGCGGAAUUUGGUAUGGAGAAGACAUGGACAGGAGUGGUAAAGUUCGUUCAGCCUGGAAUAGGCUUCUCCUGGAAGAUGUGGUAGCACCCUCUUUUGCACGAUUGCUUCUUUGUUUGAGAGAAGUGCUUGAUCCCAGGGAUUCGUACUUCUCCUUAUGGCCUAGUGGAUCUUUUGAAGCACCAUGGAACAUUUUAGUUGAGCAGAUUUACAAAAAUGUCUGCAAUGCUCCUGUGCUGUUUUCGGAUCUUGAUGGGGGGAAAUGGGUGUCCCCUGCCGAUGCUUACCUUCAUGAUGAGGAAUUCUCAAGGAGUAAAGAACUUGGUGAUGCCUUGCUGCAGCUUGAAAUGCCUAUCGUGUGCCUCCCAAGACCAGUUUUUGAUAUGCUGUUGAAACACCCUUCCUUUUUUAUUCCAAAAGUGGUUACUCCAGAUAGGGUGCGCAGCUUUCUCAAAGGAUGCAAAACGCUCUCAACUUUGAAGAAAUCGUUGAAGCUAGUAUUAUUGGAGUAUUGCCUGGAUGAUCUGACUGAUGAUGAUGUUUGCACACAAGCCAGCAACCUGAAACUGCUUCCAUUAGCAAAUGGUGACUUUGGUUUCUUUUCUGCAAGUUCAGAAGCUGUCGCCUAUUUUAUUUGUGACGAAUUGGAUCAUAUGCUUUUACAGAAAGCUUAUGACAGAGUAAUUGAUAGGAACAUACCUCCAGGUUUAUAUAGCAGACUUUUUGCCAUUGCAGAGUCGCAAACAGCAAAUCUUGCAAUUUUCGGAAUCCAAAAUUUGCUUCAGUUAUUUCCGAGGCUUGUACCUGCUGAAUGGAAAUACAGAACCAAGAUUUCCUGGCAUCCAGACUCCAACCCAGACCAUCCUUCGUCUUCAUGGUUUGUUCUCUUCUGGCAGUAUCUCGAGAAACAGUGUCCGAUCCUUUCAUUAUUCCAUGAUUGGCCAAUCUUGCCAUCUACAUCUGGCUAUUUGUAUAUACUCUCUGCACAGUCAAAAUUGAUCAACGCGGAGAAGCUUCCCGAUGCUGUCAGAAAUGUCUUGGAGAAGAUUGGUAGCAAAAUAUUAAACAACAAUUUCAAAGUUGUACAUUCAGACUUGUCCUCCUUUGUUUCAGAUGCUACUUACACCGGCGUCUUAGAAUCCGUUUUUGAUGCUGCCUCUUCAGAUAUGGAUGGGGUACAAAGUUUAAUUUAUAAUUUGAAUGCUGAAGAGAAGGAUGAACUUCGUAGUUUUCUUUUGGAUCCAAAGUGGCACAUGGGUAAUCAGAUUGGCGAUCUAUGUCUCAGAAUCUGCAAGAUUUUACCCAUUUACCGUGUAUAUGGAGAAACAUGUACUCAAGAAUCCGAUUAUUCUGAUCUUGUUAAUCCUCCUAAGUACUUACCUCCAUCAGAUGUGCCUGCCUGUCUUCUAGGAUGUGAGUUUAUUCUAAGCAGCAAAAGCAGCGAAGAAGAUGUUUUGUCGAGGUACUAUGGCAUUGAGAGAAUGAGGAAGAGUAAUUUCUACAGACAGCAUGUUUUCAACAGAAUUGAAGUUCUGCAACCUGAGAUUCGUGAUCAGGUGAUGCUUUCGAUUUUGCAGAAUCUUCCACAACUGUGUGUUGAAGAUAGAUUCUUAAGGGAAGAAUUGCAGAACCUAGAGUUCGUACCAACUGUAAAUGGUCCUCUGAAACGGCCAUCUCUUUUAUACGAUCCUCGUAAUGAAGAGUUAUAUGCUUUGUUGGAAGAUUCAGAUUGUUUCCCUGGCAGUGCAUUCCAGAAAUCUGCGAUCUUGGACAUGCUUCAAGGUUUGGGCCUUAGAACAACUGUUUCUCCUGAGACGAUUUUAGAGAGUGCACGAUUGGUGGAGCGACUGAUGAACAUGGAUCUGGAAAAGGCUCAUUCACGAGGUAAAGUGCUUUUUUCAUUUUUAGAAGUCAAUGCUGUGAAGUGGCUGCCUGAUCAGUCCAGUGAAGAUGAUGGAGCUAUUAACAGGAUAUUCUCAAGAGCCGCAACGGCUUUCAGACCACGAAAUCUUACAUGUAACCUUGUUAAGUUCUGGAAUGAACUUAAAAUGAUUUGCUGGUGCCCUGUUUUAGUCUGUGCUCCAUUUCAGACUUUACCAUGGCAAGUUGUCACAUCUACUGUUGCGCCUCCGAAGCUUGUACGUCCGAAAACAGAUAUGUGGCUUGUGUCUGCAUCCAUGCGGAUACUGGAUGGUGAAUGUUCUUCUACAGCUCUUGCAUAUAACUUGGGGUGGUUAUCACAUCCAGGAGGAAGUGCAAUUGCGGCUCAAUUGCUUGAACUUGGAAAGAACAAUGAAAUUCUGAUUGAUCAGGUUCUUCGGCAGGAACUAGCUUUGGCGAUGCCGAAGAUAUAUUCAAUUCUUGCAGGAUUACUUGGUUCAGAUGAGAUGGACAUUGUUAAGGCUGUACUUGAAGGUAGUCGCUGGAUCUGGGUAGGGGAUGGAUUUGCAACUUUGAGUGAGGUUGUUCUUGAUGGCCCUCUUCAUCUUGUUCCCUACGUUCGUGUCAUCCCUACCGACUUGGCUGUUUUUAGGAAACUGUUCGUGGAGCUUGGUGUUCGAGAAUUUUUAACUCCAUCUGAUUAUGCUGAUGUUUUAUGUAGAAUAGCUGAAAGGAAAGGUAACUCACCUCUUGAUCCACAAGAAAUCAGGGCAGCUGUUUUAAUUGCGCAGCAGUUGGCUGAAUCGCAAUUUCUUGACAAAGUCACAAUCUAUUUACCUGAUGUUUCUGGUCGUCUGUUUCCUUCAAGUGACUUGGUCUACAAUGACGCUCCGUGGCUGACUGCAUCAGACAAUCAUAAUAGCUCAUUUAGUGCAGAGUCUACAAUGCUAUUGAAUGCGAAAAGAACAAUGCAAAAGUUUGUUCACGGUAAUCUUUCGAAUGAGGUAGCAGAGAAACUUGGUGCUCGCUCUCUUCGUAGAGUCUUGCUAGCGGAAAGUGCUGAUUCAAUGAAUUUUAGUUUAUCUGGGGCUGCUGAGGCCUUUGGACAGCAUGAGGCAUUGACCACCAGACUUAAACACAUACUAGAAAUGUAUGCUGAUGGGCCUGGGAUUCUUUUUGAGUUGGUUCAGAACGCUGAAGACGCCGGAGCUUCUGAGGUGACAUUCCUUUUGGAUAGGACUCAUUAUGGGACUUCUUCACUCCUCUCUCCUGAAAUGGCAGAUUGGCAAGGCCCUGCUCUGUAUUGUUUCAACAACUCGGUUUUUACUCAACAAGAUAUGUAUGCAAUCUCACGCAUUGGUCAAGGAAGCAAACUUGAAAAGCCUUUUGCGAUUGGAAGAUUUGGGCUGGGAUUUAACUGUGUUUAUCAUUUCACAGAUAUCCCGGGUUUCGUUUCUGGAGAAAACAUUGUUAUGUUUGAUCCCCAUGCCAAUCAUUUGCCUGGCAUCUCUCCAACUCACCCAGGCUUGCGGAUUAAAUUUGCUGGAAGAAAUAUAUUGGACCAGUUUCCUGAUCAGUUUGCACCGUUCUUGCAUUUUGGUUGUGACUUAGAGCAUACAUUUCCUGGAACACUCUUUCGGUUUCCUCUUAGAAACGCCAAUGUUGCUCCCAGAAGUCAAAUAAAGAAAGAAAUAUAUACCCCUGAAGAUGUGUUAUCCCUCUUCACUUCCUUUUCUGGUGUUGUUUCGGAGGCCUUAAUUUUCCUGAGGAAUGUAAAAUCAGUAUCCAUUUUUGUCAAGGAAGGAGCUGGUCAUGAAAUGCAGUUACUGCAUCGUGUUUGCAAAGAUUACAAUGUUGGGGAAGAUACUGAACCAAAGCCAUCAAAUCAAGUGUUUAGUCUUCUUGAUGAAAAUCUUUCUGCUGGAAUGAACAAGGAUCAGUUACUAAAAAAACUAAGCAGCACUGUAGUUAAAGAACUUCCCUAUAAAUGUCAGAAGGUUGUGGUGACUGAGCAAGAUUCGUCGGGCUGUACUUCACAUGGGUGGAUAACAGGUGAAUGUCUGAAUGCCGGGGUAAGUAAAAAGCACUUAAAUCUUCCAGAAAUGUCCCAUAAGUUAAUACCAUGGGCUAGUGUUGCCGUGCUUAUAAAUUCUGUCAAGACUGAUAAAGCAGAGAACGUGGUUGCCAGCAGUUCUGAUAUAUUUGGGCCAUCCACGAUUUCAGUUCAGAAUCGAAGAAAUUUUGGGGGGCGUGCUUUUUGCUUUCUGCCUCUACCGAUAACUACUGGCCUCCCUGCGCAUAUCAAUGCAUAUUUUGAGUUGUCAUCCAACAGGAGGGAUCUUUGGUUUGGCAAUGACAUGGCAGGGGGUGGAAAAGUACGGUCGGAUUGGAAUCUUUACUUGAUCGAGGAAGUUGUUGUACCAGCCUAUGGUCAUUUGCUCGAAAAAAUUGCAUCUGAACUUGGUCCAUGUGAUUUGUUCUUCUCUGUCUGGCCAGUGACUCUAGGAGCAGAACCGUGGGCAUCCUUGGUUCGAAAGCUGUACAGUUUUAUUGCGGAUAAUGGUCUUCGUGUGUUAUAUACCAAAGCAAGAGGGGGCCAAUGGAUUUCAACUAAGCAAGCAAUUUACCCUGACUUCAGCUUUCCCAAGGCAGAUGAGCUUGUUUAUGUCCUUGCUGACGCUGGUCUCCCGGUCAUUAAUAUCUCAAAGUUAGUUGCGGAAAGAUUCGGAGAGGCUUGUUCAUCUUUGCAUAUUUUGACACCCCAAUUGUUAAGGACCUUGUUGACCCGGCGAAAACGUGAGUUUAGGGAUAGAAGUGGCUUGGUCUUGGCACUAGAAUACUGUCUUAUUGAUUUAGAAAUUCCUUUUACGGCUGAUCUUUUUGGUCUACCCCUGCUACCUCUUGCCGAUGGUUCGUUUACAACAUUUAGCAAGAGUGGGACUGCUGAGAGAAUCUUUUUCGCAGAAGAGAAUGGGUAUGAACUUCUGAAGGAUACACUUCCUCACCAGCUUGUGGAUCGUGAAGUGCCGGAAGGAGUUUAUAGUAAGCUGUUGUCUGUAGCACAAAGCGAAGAAUCGUGCAUAUGUCUUCUCUCCUGCAGCUUGCUUGAGAAGCUCUUUUUUAAGCUACUACCAGCAGACUGGCAUCUUGCUGAAAAGAUACUCUGGACACCUGGCCAGCACGGACAUCCGACAGUAGAGUGGAUACGGGUACUGUGGAGCUAUCUUAAGUUUUGUGAUGACCUCUCAGUAUUUUCUAAGUGGCCCAUAUUGCCAGUUGAAGAUCGCUGUCUCAUGCAACUAACUGUAAAUUCAAACGUUAUCCAAGAUGAUGGCUGGAGCGAGAACAUGUCUUCAUUAUUGCUGAAAUGUGGAUGCCGGUUCUUAAAUCAUGAGCUUCCAGUAGAGCACCCUCAGUUGGAAAGAUUUGUUCAGCCGCCAACAGCAGCAGGCAUACUGAACGCACUUCUUGGAGUUUCUGGCGGGCAAGAAAACAUAAAAGGAAUUUUCCUUAAUGUUUCAGAAGGAGAACUGCAUGAGCUACGGAAUUUUAUUCUUCAGUCAAAGUGGUUUUCUGCCGGACAAAUGAAUGAGGUCCACUUUGAGACCAUCAAACACCUUCCCAUAUUCGAGUCAUACAGAAAUAGAAAACUUGUGAGUUUGAAUUGUCCAGUUAAGUGGCUAAAACCUGAUGGCAUCAGGGAGGAUCUGUUGGAUGAUGAUUUUGUACGCUUAGACUCAGAGAGGGAGAGAGCUAUCUUCAAAAGAUACUUACAAAUAGAAGAACCCUCGAAAAUGGAAUUUUACAAAGCUUGUGUACUCAAUCGUAUGUCGGAGUUCCUUUCUCAGCAAGAAGCUUUGUUGGCCAUUUUGCAUGAUCUAAAUGAUCUAGUCGCCGAUGAUGUUUCCCUUCAGUGUGCAUUAUCUACAACCCCUUUUGUUCUGGCCGCAAAUGGAUUAUGGCAACAACCUUCCAGGCUUUACGAUCCUCGUGUUCCUGGGCUACAGGAGCUUCUUCACAAAGAAGUCUACUUUCCUUCUGAGAAGUUUUUAGAUUCUAAGAUCCUGGAUGCAUUGGUUGGUCUUGGACUUAGAACAACUCUGGACUGUACUACCUAUGUGGAUGCUGCUAGAAGUGUGUCAAUCCUACAUGACUCGGAAGAUCUAGAAGCAUCGAGAUAUGGAAGAAGACUGUUCUCCCAUAUCAAAAAUCUUUCUGUCAAACUAUCAUCCAGGACAGGUGAAGCGAAUGAUGAUGAAUCACAAGAUCUGAUGUCCAAGACAAGUGAAGACUCGCCUGAUGGAGAAACCUAUCCUGAAUAUGAAGCGGGGAGUAUCUAUCUUGGGAGCUUACCCACUGAGCAAUCGGAGCAUGAGUUUUGGGAUCAAAUGAGGUCUAUCGCAUGGUGUCCUAUUUGUCUUGAUCCACCAAUAGAAGGAAUUCCAUGGCUUGAAUCUAGUAACUUGGUGGCAUCUCCAGAUAGAGUAAGGCCCAAGUCUCAGAUGUUUUUGGUGUCUGCCACAAUGCACUUACUGGACGGCGAGUGCCAUUCGCCAUAUCUACUUCAGAAACUUGGGUGGAUGGACUGUUUAAGUAUUGAUGUCCUGUGCAGACAAUUAAUUGAGAUAUCAAAGUCUUACAAAGAACAGAAGUCUCGUUCAACAGUACAUCCUGAUUUUGAGAGCAUGUUACAGAGUCAAAUUCCUCUACUCUAUACGAGACUGCAAGAACAUGCUAGGGACAAUGACUUUCUUGCUCUCACAUCAGUACUGAACGGUGUUCCUUGGGUGUGGCUUGGAGAUGAUUUUAUCUCUGCAGAUGUUCUUGCUUUUGAUUCUCCCGUGAAGUUUACCCCUUAUCUAUAUGCUGUCCCUUCAGAAUUAUCAGACUUUAAAGAACUGCUUCUGGAAUUGGGUGUGAGGCUUAGUUUUGAUGCCGCAGAUUAUAUGAACACUCUGCAACACUUGCAGAAUGAUCUAAAAGGAUCACCGUUAACAGAAGAACAGAUAUGUUUUGUCCUUUUAGUUCUUGAAGCCAUUGCAGACUGUUUCUCUGAGGCGUCACAAGAUUGUGAUAGAAAUUUAGUGCUAGUUCCUGAUUCCGCUGGACUUUUGGUCCCCUUGGAUGAUCUUGUUUAUAAUGAUGCACCAUGGGUAGACAGCAGUUCUCUUUCUGGGAAAAGGUUUGUGCAUCCUAGCAUCAGCAAUGACAUGGCUAACAAGUUGGGGAUACAAUCUCUUCGCUGUAUCUCCUUAGUCGAUAAUGAUAUUACCCAAGAUCUUCCUUGUAUGGAGUUCACAAAGUUGAAUGAGCUUCUAUCACUGUAUGGCAGCAAAGAUUUCUUGUUGUUCGAUCUUCUUGAGUUAGCCGAUUGCUGCAAGGUUAAAAAGCUGCACAUCAUCUUUGACAAGAGAGAGCACUCUCGCAAGUCCUUGCUGCAGCAUAAUUUAGGUGAAUUCCAAGGACCUGCUCUACUUGCCAUUUUAGAAGGGGCUACGUUGACCAGAGAGGAGGUUUGUAGUCUUCAGCUUCUUUCACAGUGGAGAGUUAAGGGUGAAACUCUCAACUAUGGGCUGGGCCUUCUUAGUUGUUUCUUCAUGUGUGAUCUUCUGUCUAUUGUUUCUGGUGGCAACUUUUACAUGUUUGAUCCCCAAGGAGCGACCCUCUCUGCCUCCACGACUCAGGCUCCUGCUGCAAAAAUGUUCUCGUUGAUAGGUACAAAUUUGGUUGAGCGAUUCAGUGAUCAAUUUAAUCCGAUGCUAAUUGGUCAAGAUAAGGCAUGGUCAUUGACAGAUUCCACCAUUAUUCGGAUGCCUUUAUCAUCGGAAAUCUUGAAAGAUGGACUUGAGGCGGGGUUAAAUAGAGUGAAGCAAAUAUCUGACCAGUUUUUGGAGAAUGCCUCCAGAAUCCUCAUUUUCUUGAAGUCAGUUUCACAGGUUUCAUAUUCCACAUGGGAGCAAGGAAAUGUAGAACCACACCAAGAUUACGCUCUGCAUAUUGAUUCAGCAUCAGCUAUCAUGAGGAAUCCCUUCUCGGAGAAAAAAUGGAGAAAGUUUCAACUUUCGAGGUUGUUUAGUAGCUCAAACUCUGCUGUUAAAUCACAAAUAAUAGAGGUCAACCUACAUAUAGGGGAAAACAAACUUCUGGAUCGAUGGCUUGUUGUUCUCAGCAUGGGCUCUGGACAAUCACGAAACAUGGCUCUUGACAGGAGGUAUCUUGCGUAUAAUUUGACACCUGUUGCUGGGGUUGCGGCACAUGUAUCUCGAAAUGGUCGUCCGGUUGAUGUUCAUUCAGCCAGCCCCAUAAUGUCUCCUUUGCCUUUGUCUGGUAGUGUGAAUCUACCUGUCACCAUCCUUGGAUGCUUCCUCGUUCGGAAUAAUUGUGGUCGUUUUCUCUUCAAACAUCAGAAAGGGAGAAAUAUGUUAGAGCCACAGCUUGAUGCUGGAGAUAGAUUGAUUGAUGCAUGGAACAAAGAGUUAAUGUCAUGUGUUCGUGAUUCUUACAUAGAAAUUGUGGUGGAGAUGGAAAGGCUAAGGCGAGAGCAUCCAAGCUCUUCAAUUGAGUCAAGUUCAGCACGUCAGCUGGCCCUUUCUCUUAAAGCAUAUGGUCACGAAUUGUAUUCUUUCUGGCCACGGUCUAAUCAACAUGACGGUGCUCUAGUAACAGAAAUGCCCAAGCCGGAGUGGGAAUGCUUGGUUGAACAAGUUAUAAGGCCCUUUUAUGCUCGUGUUGCUGACCUUCCCAUGUGGCAGCUUUACUCCGGAAAUUUGGUUAAGGCUGAAGAGGGUAUGUUUCUAACACAACCUGGUAGUGAGGUUGCUGUUAAUUUACUUCCCGUUACAGUUUGCAGCUUUGUGAAGGAGCAUCACCCUGUUUUUUCCGUGCCUUGGGAAUUGUUGGCUGAAGUCCAGGCAGUAGGGAUUCCGGUUCGAGAAGUUAAGCCAAAGAUGGUUCGCGAUCUUCUAAAGAAGUCAUCUGCAUCUAUCGAUCUCCGAUCUGUUGAUACUUAUAUUGAUGUGCUUGAAUAUUGUCUCUCAGAUAUUCAAUUCACUGAAGCACUUAACCCCGAAGGGGGCAACUUGGAUGAAGGAAACAGUACUUCUGGUUCGAUGUCGAUGCCUACUCAAGCUCAGGCUGGCUCAAGUGACGCUUUUGAAAUGAUGACAAGCCUAGGGAAGGCUUUGUUUGAUUUUGGUAGAGUUGUUGUUGAAGAUAUUGGUCGUACUGGAAAUAGUAAUAAUAGAUAUAGUAAUCUUGACCCGAGGUUUCUAUCUGCGCUUAAUGAACUUAAAGGAUUACCAUGCCCGACUGCAACAAAUCAGUUAACUCGUUUAGGUACUUCUGAGCUGUGGUUGGGCAACAAGGAGCAGCAGGCUUUGAUGUUACCUGUGUCUAAAAGAUUUAUCCAUCCAAAAGUGUUUGACAGAUCGAGCUUGUCUGAUAUAUUUUCGAAGUCUUCAGUUCAAGCAUUUUUAAAGUUAAGGAGCUGGUCACUUCCUUUACUGGCCAGUAAUAUGAAAUAUCUUUUUCAUGACGAUUGGGUUAAUUAUAUCUCUCAAUCAAAUACUAUGCCAUGGUUUUCAUGGGAAAGUACAUCCAGUUCUAGUGAUGAUAGUGGCCCCUCGCCUGAAUGGAUCAGGCUCUUUUGGAAGAAUUUCAAUGGAUCAGCAGAUGAGCUCUCACUCUUUUCGGACUGGCCUUUGAUUCCUGCCUUCCUUGGCAGACCGAUAUUAUGCCGUGUAAGGGAGAGACAUUUGAUCUUCUUUCCACCACCACCUUCGCAGCCAAUCCCUGGAAGUGUUACUGAUAUGCCCACAACAUCAGUAAGUGAUGGUUCUUUAUCUGAGUUAAUACAGCACUAUGCUUCAGGCUUCGACCUAGCACAGAGAAAGCAUCCUUGGCUGAUUUUACUGCUGAACCAAUGCAAUAUACCUGUCUGUGAUACUGCAUAUAUUGAUUGUGCCGAGAGAUGCAAGUGUCUGCCUUCACCAAGCAUGUCGCUUGGCCAAGCUAUUGCCUCCAAGCUUGCUGAAGGCAAACGAGCUGGCUACAUUACUGAUAUCUCUUCCUUCCCAACAUCUGGCCGUGAUGAGCUUUUCACCCUUUUGGCUAAUGAUUUCUCUUCAAGUGGCUCAAGAUAUCAAGCAUAUGAACUUGAAGUACUAAGUUCACUUCCUAUAUUUAAGACUGUCACUGGGUCUUAUACACAUUUGCAAAGGCAGGGUUUGUGUAUAAUCGCUGGAAAUUCCUUCCUCAAACCACAUGAUGAAUGUUGCUUUUGCUAUUUUCUAGAUUCAGUUGAAUGUCACUUUCUCCAAGCCCUUGGGGUCGCUGUGUCGCAUAAUCAUCAGACUUUAGUAAGGUUUGGGUUAACUGGGUUUGAAAGCAGAUCUCAAUCUGAACAAGAAGAUAUACUAAUUUAUCUGUAUGGAAAUUGGCGUGAUUUAGAGGCCGAUUCUACUGUGAUUGAAGCCCUGAGGGAAGCUAAAUUUGUCAGAAGUUCUGAUGAAUUCUCCUCUGAGCUGUCAAAACCGAAGGACUUGUUUGACCCUUCUGAUACAUUACUAGUGUCAGUCUUUUUUGGUGAAAGAAAACGAUUUCCUGGAGAAAGAUUCUCAUCAGAAGGCUGGCUUCGCAUUCUACGAAAAGUUGGCCUUCGAACUGCAGCGGAAGCCGAUGUCAUACUUGAAUGUGCCAAAAGGGUAGAAUUUCUGGGUAGAGAGCGUGAUAGACCCUCUGAAGAAGAUUCUUUUGAAACGGAUCUUGUGCAUUCUGAGAAGGAUAUUUCAGUCGAGUUAGCUACAUUAGCAGGAUCUGUACUUGAAGCUAUAUUUUUAAACUUUGCUGGUUUUUAUAGCACCGCCUUCUGCAACACUCUUGGUCAGAUUGCAUGCGUACCUGCUGAAUCAGGGUUCCCAAGUAUUGGUGGCAGAAAAGGUGGCAAAAGAGUCCUUACAAGUUACAGUGAAGCUGUUCUUUUACGGGACUGGCCCCUGGCUUGGAGCUCGGUUCCUAUUCUAUCAAGUCAGAGAUUCAUUCCACCUGACUUUUCAUGGACAGCAUUUCGCCUAAGAAGUCCUCCGAUUUUCUCGACUGUUCUUAAACACUUGCAGGUUAUCGGACGGAAUGGGGGUGAAGACACUCUUGCUCAUUGGCCCAAUGAUCCAGAUGUGAUGACCGUUGAUGUUGCUUCUUGUGAAGUUUUGAAGUACCUGGAAAAGGUUUGGGGCUCCCUCACUUCUUCAGAUAUUUUGGAAUUGCAAAAGGUGGCCUUUUUACCAGCUGCAAACGGAACACGCUUGGUGGGCGCAAGCUCCCUUUUUGUUCGCCUACCAAUCAACCUAUCGCCUUUUGCAUUUGAACUUCCUAGUCUCUAUCUACCCUUUCUGAAGAUCCUUAAAGAUUUGGGACUCAACGAUGUGCUUUCAGUUGGAGCUGCAAAGGAUAUCCUCUCCAAGUUACAAAAACUCUGUGGUUAUCGGCGUUUGAACCCCAACGAGCUUCGAGCUGUCAUGGAAAUUCUUCAUUUUCUCUGCGAUGAAAUAAAUGCAACAAAGGCACCAAAUGAUUCCACUAUUAAUUCAGAUGUGAUAGUCCCAGAUGAUGGCGGCAGACUUGUCCAUGCACGGUCUUGUGUUUAUGUCGAUUCCUUUGGGUCACGCUAUGUGAAAUACAUAGACACUGCAAGGUUAAGACUUGUUCAUCCACUUCUUCCGGAGAGGAUCUGUCUAGAUUUGGGUGUGAGAAAGCUUUCUGAUGUGGUUAUUGAGGAACUUGAAAGCUCUGAGCAUAUCCAAAGCUUAGACAAGAUAGGGUCCAUAUCACUGAAGGCUAUUAGAAGGAAGUUACAGAGCGAAUCGUUUCAAGCUGCUUUAUGGACUGUGAGCCGCCAGAUAACCACCGUGCAUGACUUAUCUUUUCAAGAUGUCCAACAUUCUCUUCAAUCUGCUGCAGAGAAAAUUGAAUUCAUCAGAAAUAUAUAUACUCGAUUUCUUCUCCUGCCAAACUCCGUUGACGUUACCCUCGUGUCUAAGGAGUCCAUCAUUCCCGAAUGGGAGAAUGAAUCCCGUCAUCGCACAAUGUAUUACAUCAAUCUCCACAGAACAUCUAUCCUAGUUGCUGAACCGCCUGGAUACAUUUCUUUACUGGAUGUCAUGGCAACAGUGGUGAGCGAGGUUCUAGGCUUUCCAACUUCCUUGCCUAUAGCAUCUUUAUUUUCAUGUCCUGAGGGAUCUGAAACUGAAAUUUCCGCUUGCCUAAGACUAAGCUCUCAUGCUCUUACCAACACCGGCACAGCUGUUGAUAGUACAGUUGGCCAAGAGAUAAUGCCGCAGGAUGCUGUGCAAGUACAGCUUCACCCUCUGAGACCAUUCUACAAAGGGGAGAUUGUUGCUUGGAAAAUCCAGCAAGGAGACAAACUGAGAUACGGAAGAGUCCCAGAGGAUGUUCGACCUUCUGCAGGCCAAGCUCUUUACAGAUUUAAGGUUGAAAUGACACCUGGAGAGACUGGUCUAUUACUUUCAUCUCAAGUUUUCUCCUUCCGAGGCACGUCGGUUGAAAAUGAAGGUCCCUCGUCGUUGGCCGAGGUGCUCCCUGCAGUAUCUGAUAACAAAUCUCAAGGGAGUUCAGACAGUUCCAGAACUAACAAAGCAAGUUCUUCUAGCCAGCCUGUGAAUGAAACGCAAUAUGGUCGAGUCACAGCGAAAGAAUUAGUUGAGGCGGUCCACGAGAUGCUCUCUGCAGCUGGAAUCAACAUGGAACUGGAGAAUCAAUCUUUACUACAGAGAACCAUAACCCUUCAAGAAGAACUCAAAGACUCUCAAGCAGCAUAUAUACUUGAACAGGAGAGAGCAGAGGCUUCUCUUAAAGAAGCAGAGACGGCGAAAUCACAGUGGAUUUGCAAGAUAUGCCUGAUCAAAGAAGUGGACUUAACCAUUGUACCAUGCGGACAUGUCUUGUGUCGGGAAUGUUCAGCUUCAGUCGCUAGAUGUCCCUUUUGUCGUCUUCAAGUCACAAGAACCAUCCGAAUUUUCCGACCGUAAACAAACCACCUAAAUAUCAUAUCUAUGAGUCACUAUUUAUCAAAAGGUUUUUGUCCUCUAUUACAAAGAGUUUCUGCUGACUCAUUGGCAGCUUGUAUAUACGUAUAUAGUGUUUGACACCAAAAGGAAGGGAAGUGACUAAUGAAUCAUAUCUCGACACGUGGUGGACUACGUAGACGUUAGAUAACCACCACUCAGAUAAGAAGGAGAGAGAAAGCAAAAAGGAUAUGUGGCGGGAGUGAAAGAAGGUCACACUUCAAUGGCGUCUCUGCAACUCUGCGACGGUUAUCUUCUCUCCAAGCCCUCUGUAUCUCCUCGUUUCCGUCUCCCUCAACGAAU